UACGGAGGGUGCAAGCGUUAUCCGGAUUCACUGGGUUUAAAGGGUGCGUAGGUGGGUUGGUAAGUCAGUGGUGAAAUCUCCGAGCUUAACUUGGAAACUGCCAUUGAUACUAUCAGUCUUGAAUAUUGUGGAGGUCAGCGGAAUAUGUCAUGUAGCGGUGAAAUGCUUAGAUAUGACAUAGAACACCAAUUGCGAAGGCAGCUGGCUACACAAAUAUUGACACUGAGGCACGAAGGCGUGGGGAUCAAACAGG
rnacentral:rRNA from 1 species